UCUGGGGACGACUCCUAUCCCA
rnacentral:misc_RNA from 1 species